AUAAACCCUGACCCUCAUUCACCCCAAAAACUCCCUACCAUCUCCAUAGCCCUACCCUCCCCAACAUCGGCUGCCACUGCCAACCACCACACCUCCCAAACACAGUCCCUACCAUUCCAAAAUCUGCAAGGAAAGCUUCCAAAUUCGUAAAUUGUGAAUCCCAAAAACCUUGAAUCCAGCCACCGCCAAUGGAUCCAUCAUCAUGAAUUACGCACAUGGCAUCUCCAUCACUCCGGCCAUGGAUCUUCAUCAAUCAAUAAAUCUAGUUCUGGUUGUGAUACGUAUGCGC
rnacentral:lncRNA from 1 species